CAGUCGCCACGGUAACACGGAGGGAGCUAGCGUUGUUCGGAAUUACUGGGCGUAAGGCGCGCGUAGGCGGUUACUCAAGUCAGAGGUGAAAGCCCGGGGCUCAACCCCGGAACUGCCUUUGAAACUAGGUGACUAGAAUCUUGGAGAGGUCAGUGGAAUUCCGAGUGUAGAGGUGAAAUUCGUAGAUAUUCGGAAGAACACCAGUGGCGAAGGCGACUGACUGGACAAGUAUUGACGCUGAGGUGCGAAAGCGUGGGGAGCAAACAGGAUUAGAUACCCGUGUAGUCCCUGUCUCUUAUAU
rnacentral:rRNA from 1 species